rnacentral:rRNA from 1 species
UUACCAUGCAGUCGAACGAUGAAGCCCAGCUUGCUGGGUGGAUUAGUGGCGAACGGGUGAGUAACACGUGAGCAACCUGCCCCUGACUCUGGGAUAAGCGCUGGAAACGGCGUCUAAUACUGGAUAUGAGCUCCUGCCGCAUGGUGGGGGUUGGAAAGAUUUUUGGUUGGGGAUGGGCUCGCGGCCUAUCAGCUUGUUGGUGAGGUAAUGGCUCACCAAGGCGUCGACGGGUAGCCGGCCUGAGAGGGUGACCGGCCACACUGGGACUGAGACACGGCCCAGACUCCUACGGGAGGCAGCAGUGGGGAAUAUUGCACAAUGGGCGGAAGCCUGAUGCAGCAACGCCGCGUGAGGGAUGACGGCCUUCGGGUUGUAAACCUCUUUUAGCAGGGAAGAAGCGAGAGUGACGGUACCUGCAGAAAAAGCACCGGCUAACUACGUGCCAGCAGCCGCGGUAAUACGUAGGGUGCAAGCGUUAUCCGGAAUUAUUGGGCGUAAAGAGCUCGUAGGCGGUUUGUCGCGUCUGCUGUGAAAUCCCGAGGCUCAACCUCGGGUCUGCAGUGGGUACGGGCAGACUAGAGUGCGGUAGGGGAGAUUGGAAUUCCUGGUGUAGCGGUGGAAUGCGCAGAUAUCAGGAGGAACACCGAUGGCGAAGGCAGAUCUCUGGGCCGUAACUGACGCUGAGGAGCGAAAGGGUGGGGAGCAAACAGGCUUAGAUACCCUGGUAGUCCACCCCGUAAACGUUGGGAACUAGUUGUGGGGUCCAUUCCACGGAUUCCGUGACGAAGCUAACGCAUUAAGUUCCCCGCCUGGGGAGUACGGCCGCAAGGCUAAAACUCAAAGGAAUUGACGGGGACCCGCACAAGCGGCGGAGCAUGCGGAUUAAUUCGAUGCAACGCGAAGAACCUUACCAAGGCUUGACAUAUAGAGGAAACGGCCAGAGAUGGUCGCCCCGCAAGGUCUCUAUACAGGUGGUGCAUGGUUGUCGUCAGCUCGUGUCGUGAGAUGUUGGGUUAAGUCCCGCAACGAGCGCAACCCUCGUUCUAUGUUGCCAGCACGUAAUGGUGGGAACUCAUGGGAUACUGCCGGGGUCAACUCGGAGGAAGGUGGGGAUGACGUCAAAUCAUCAUGCCCCUUAUGUCUUGGGCUUCACGCAUGCUACAAUGGCCGGUACAAAGGGCUGCGAUACCGUAAGGUGGAGCGAAUCCCAAAAAGCCGGUCCCAGUUCGGAUUGAGGUCUGCAACUCGACCUCAUGAAGUCGGAGUCGCUAGUAAUCGCAGAUCAGCAACGCUGCGGUGAAUACGUUCCCGGGUCUUGUACACACCGCCCGUCAAGUCAUGAAAGUCGGUAACACCUGAAGCCGGUGGCCUAACCCUUGUGGAGGAGCCGUCGAAG